GGAGCAACGCCGCGUGAGUGAAGAAGGUCUUCGGAUCGUAAAGCUCUGUUGUUGGUGAAGAAGGAUAGAGGCAGUAACUGGUCUUUAUUUGACGGUAAUCAACCAGAAAGUCACGGCUAACUACGUGCCAGCAGCCGCGGUAAUACGUAGGUGGCAAGCGUUGUCCGGAUUUAUUGGGCGUAAAGCGAGCGCAGGCGGAAUGAUAAGUCUGAUGUGAAAGCCCACGGCUCAACCGUGGAACUGCAUCGGAAACUGUCAUUCUUGAGUGCAGAAGAGGAGAGUGGAACUCCAUGUGUAGCGGUGGAAUGCGUAGAUAUAUGGAAGAACACCAGUGGCGAAGGCGGCUCUCUGGUCUGCAACUGACGCUGAGGCUCGAAAGCAUGGGUAGCGAACAGGAUUAGAUACCCUGGUAGUCCAUGCCGUAAACGAUGAGCGCUAGGUGUUGGGGACUUUCCGGUCCUCAGUGCCGCAGCAAACGCAUUAAGCGCUCCGCCUGGGGAGUACGACCGCAAGGUUGAAACUCAAAGGAAUUGACGGGGGCCCGCACAAGCGGUGGAGCAUGUGGUUUAAUUCGAAGCAACGCGAAGAACCUUACCAGGUCUUGACAUCCUGCGCUACACCUAGAGAUAGGUGGUUCCCUUC
rnacentral:rRNA from 1 species